AUUAAGAAAAUCAACGACUCCAACUGCCAAUAGAUAGAAGUUAUGUACAAUCAGUAAAAUAUUAUCUCCGACACAACGAUGUUAACCGCCAGUACCCAUAAGCCUGUCUCUCUACAUGAAUGUUCUUAAAUUCCAAAAAGAAAAUAGCAUCUAACGACGGAUCUUCAUUGUGCGCUGGAUAUGCAGUGGUGCUCGGUCAAGAGCUCGAAGAUGAGUCCACUUGAAUCCACAGCAUCUCAGCAUACGCCUUAUCUUCUUCCUUCUCCUCCAAUGCAUACUUGGAGUCAUCCAGUAGAGAGGAAGCCGAGACACCCACUCCUCGCCGCCAAAAAAACCUCCCUAAGGCUGCCCAAAAAUUCACAAAAUAGCAGACAUUAACCUUCGACGAAAUUAGCAGCCAAGAACAUUACAAAAGAAACAUGCAAGAGACGCCACAAAACAUAGGAAAUGGAAGAAUACAUGGUCCCCUCUGCCCAUCAUACAUCAUUCUACUUCCCAUGGCCAUGGUAAUAUACACAGAAGUGGUACCAUGUAAAAGAAGUAAAUUAAUUAAGGAAGUACAGUGGAAACUACCAAGUGGUAUUCUUUGUAGUAGUGAAUAAAGAAGAUAUCAUUAUGUGAGAUCUCACAAGCUGCUUGCAAUAAGGAAUAGACAGGAGCAGGGAAAUGCAUAUUCAUAUGAAUAAACUAGAGAAAUAACCUCAAAAAGUAACCUGAUCCAAGUUUAGAAUUACGUUGGCAUACAAACAGCUAAAUGGCAUAGACAAAGCAAAGAAUAAGCAACUCCCGUGGAGAGAUUAUCUAGACAUCCAUCUUGGAUUCGAAAAGUAGGCCACAUCUCAUUCUAACGAUUCAUCAAACUCAUUGUAUGUAUAAAAUUAAGAUGUGCAUAAGGUCUUUGAACUAGAUUCUUCAGUUACUUAAUUGGUUAAGAUAAUACUGAAAAGGGCCUAUACCUAAUCAGAUAGCACUUAUGAAAUAUGAACCAACUGCUUGACUUGGAGUUCGUCGACAGUCCCUUCUAUUGCUGAGGAAGGAGGAGCACAAGAAGAUGCCUCAUACUGUACCUAAAUCAAACCCAAGUAGCAUUUUCAUUUAACUUAAAUCAGCAUUUCCAUCUAACCUAAACAAAUUCAAGAGGAAACUAAUGAGAAAUUAAUUAAAGAGGAAACUGAUAUCGAGACAUAACGGUCGUCGGAGAAGUGGGCGUUGGAGGCAGAGAAGGAAGAGGACUGUUGCAGCUUUCAACGUAAAAGACGGCGGAUGAGUAUUUCUGCUAUACUGCUGCCGCCGCCAAAACCUACCAUCCAGCUGACAAAGAGCCUAACAAAAUAACCAACAAAAUUUAAUGCAAAGAAGAAGAGUAGAGAGGGAAACGAAGGUUGGCAGCGGUAAGGGAAGCAGUCGACUGCUACCUGAUUGAAAAUCGAGAGAAGCAGUGGAGAGGGAAUGAAAUCGGCACCCACAACGGCGGCGAAGGAAGGAUGGACACGUCGGGACAGGGACUGGAGCGGGGCAGAGACUCGACGGAGACAAAUGAAUAAGAAUCGGUGGGGGGUGAUGAAUAGCUGAGAGGAAUCGGCGAAGAGUGGUGAUGGCCAGGAAAAAUCGGCGACGGCGGCUGAGAAGAGAGAGAUCGCUCAGUUGGGGAAAACUACAUGAAAUUUUUUUACCUAGCUGUUUGAAAUCUCGAAUCCGUUGUCGCGGAAGCCUUAGUGCCGGAUAUAUUAAGAUUUCCGUGACAAUCAUUUACUGUUUGGUCUGAUAGAGCGGUUUUAUUUGGUUACUGUAGUCGAGGAUAGCCUCCAUCGCGGAUAUAUUCAGGUUAUCCGCCACAAUCGCUAUCGCGGAAGUCAUUGUCGCGGUUAAAUUAUACCUAUACGUGACAGCGGUUGUCGCGGAUCUUACCCACAACGAUAGAUCCGCGUCCGAUGUCACUUUUUGUUGUAGGGCAAGUCUUCAAUUCUUGCUUUUCAAGUGUUCCAAAUCCACUUCAAUGACUUCAAAUGGUGUGAGAGAGCAGAAUUUUGAAUUAAUUUAUUGUUAUGAUGGAAUGGGGAGAAGAGUUUUCUCACUCUUCAAAUUUGGGAUUUUAUAUUUCUACUGGCCCAUUCAUACGUUUUGUGGCCAUGUAUCCAGACCGGGUGAUUUUUCUUCCUUCGCUCAUAACUCGCUCAUCCGACAUCCAUUUGAACUCUGAUUGAUCUCUUUGGCUUGGUAUUGAUGCCCUCUAUCCAUUGUAUACAUGAAAUCUCAACAACACAUGAGAAAACAAGUCGAACGAACCAAAACGAUCCGUUUGAGAAAACACAACACAAAACCCUUGUUUUCAUCCACCAAUCACAUCUCAAAAGUCAAGAAUCGGUCGAACCGAGUGAAGAACAUGUCAAGAUGGGGCUGAAUCUCAUACAAUAUGAAGUGCUAUUGCUCACCUACCUUAUUUACCCACCGAUGGCAAUGAGGUUCCACCAGACUAUGAGGAUGACGAGGUUGCUAAUAAUUCUUUUCAAGAUGAGGUUGAUGGAAACUCGGUUCAUGAUGAGUUUGCCACUGAUUCUGAAGAAGGUGACCUUGACGAGCAGUUUGUUGCAGCUCGUCCUCCUAUGAGGGUUGAAUAAUCCCUAGCAUCAUCAAGUUAUAGAGGGUCAUCUAAUUCUAACCAUGAUCGUGGCAGUAUAAGUGACGAUGAAGUUGAGUCUCCUUUUCAAAUGCAACCAUGGUAUAAUCUUGCUUAUGAUCACAAAACAUUUAGAUUCGUGAGGGGACUACGCAAGGCAUGUAAGUGUGAAAUGGAAGAUUAAACACAAGGGCGCCACUACUAGAAAAGCUUUAUGGAAUGUUGUCUACGCUUGCAAUGAGACUGAAUGGAGACAACACACAGAUGUACUUAAAGGUCUUCAGCAAUCAGGUGAUGCUCCAGAUGCCUUUCAUGACUACAUGGAACAAGAUCCUUAAACUUUUAGUUGUGCAGUUGUUUCUAGGAACCCUAAUGUAACGGUAUUGAGAACAACAUAUGCGAGACCUUCAAUGGUUGCAUGGUCAAAUAUCAUGGCUUACGUAUCCUAAAAUUUCUAGAAGGGAUAUGUGGGUAUAUGAUACAGCAAAUAGUUGACAAGAAUGCCUCUUAUGUAAGGAAUUCUUGUAAUGUAGGGGUUUGUCCAUGGAUAUACAAAGGUGCUGAAAGAACCAAGUACGCAUGCAAGACUUGUAUUACGGAAUGCCAUUGAACUUUGAAUUUGAAGUGGAAAUAGUUGACAACGGGUAUGUGGUAGGGUUAGAGAGAAAGUCAUGUAGUUGUGGUUAUUGGAAAUUUAGUGGUAUUCCGUGUAUCCACACUUUUGCUGUUAUCUCCUUUAUGAGAUUAGAUGUCUUUAGUUUGUGGAUGAGUUUUACUCCAUACAGUCAGCUCGAAAGGCUUACAGCCAUGGAGUUCCAGCCUUGGGUGCAACUAAAUCUGCUGCUAGACGAAGGGGUGCACCUGAGGCAACUGGUCGAGGAAGGGGGUGCAACUCAGGCUGUUGGUAGAAAAAGGGGGAAAUUAAGUUGCUGAAAAGAGGAAGGGAUGCACCUAUCCAACGUGGAAUAGGCGUCAUGAGGUGUUCUUUAUACCAGAGAACCACGCACAAUGCUAGGAGUUGUGUCAUGAGGAGAGGAGUGCCACCAGUUAAUGUGAGGCUUAUGAAUCGUAACACAAGGGAGUUGGAGGUGCUUCAAGCUAUGAGCGUCAUUGGUGUUUAUGUGGAUGAGGACACUGGAAACAAUUAUUUCAGAGGGUCCCUUAGUAGGCAAGCAACACUGCUAGUCACCCUCUACCAACUCAGCGAACUCAGGACUAGGGUGUUUCAGUGUUAUAAAGAAUAUGUUUCCUAUGUAAUGGUUUGUUAGUUAUCCUUGAACAUUGUUUGUCAAGUACUCGACGAUGUAGGGAUGAACUAUAUAUAGUAUUCUCCUUUUUGUUUAAAGGUCACUAAGUCGUUGUGAUGUAGCCGUUGAAAGUGUUAUCUUUUGUGUUCAAGAUUAUGUAUGAUAUGAUGUUGAGUGUAGCAAUGUAGAACUCAUGUCCUGUAAGACUUUUUGUAAGCAUUAAAUCCAUCUACUUUUGUUUCAACCAAAGAAUGCAUUACAUCACCAAUUAACUUUUAACUCUUGAGUUGUACCGUUCCAUCAACAAAGGAGGUAAGAGGGGAGGGAAAACGAAUAUGUGCCAAAAUUAUAUUAUUCAAAACAUGUGUCAUAUUGCGUGUCGCGCCUUAACGUUGGGAUUUAUUUGAUAAGUUUUUCUAAGUAUUUAAUGAUGUUACCUUUCAUUUUGCUUUCAUUUUCUUUUUACGAUUUUUUUUUGUGUUUGAUGUUAGAAGCGAUUCUUUUUCCUUUUUGCAAGGUAAUUUGAUGUGGCUUCCUUGAAUUUUCGAACGAAUUCUUAAGGAUGAUGGUGAGCCUUGUCUUUUGGUUAAAGCUUGAUUGUGAUCCGUGGUGAGGCUAAAUGUGGUUUAUGGUGAGGUUGAAAGUGUGAUUUGGAGUGGUUUAUAGUGAGGCAUGAUUGUAACUUUUGAGAAGCAAUUUUUUAUGAGGUUUGGAGAGGGAUUUUGAAUUUGAUUUGAGUGCUAAGUGGGUUUAUAUGAUGAUGAGUGAGUUUUGAGGUGUUGAGUGUGAUUUGAGGGAGUGAUAGGAGGAUGAGGGUGAUUUGCGUGUGAUUAGACAGUGAUUUGUGUGAGGUUUAGUGAGGGGAGUGUGAUAAAGAGUUUGUAAUUAGUUAUAAUCUUUUUUCUCUUGCAUUUUCUUACUCUUAUUUCUUCGUUUUAAUUGGUUUUAUUUUUUGUCAACUUCUAGCAAUAUCUCUUUUUUUGUCAAAAUUCUCUUAUUCCCAUCUUAGUUUUAUAGUCUACUGAAAUAAGCCAGUAGAGGGCGAAAUGAGGACAUCAUUCUUAGUUUACCCAACCGUGAAAACAAUAUUCCCCUAGCCUACAGUAAGAGAGCUACUGUCCUUAGAUUGUGGGUCCCACCUGACUAAUCCGUCAUUAAUAUUUGGACGCCGCUAGUCAUACCAUGUUUGGAAAUUAACCCGGUUUAGGGUAGAAAUCGAACCCGUUACUUUUUAUAACACGAUAUGAGUAAAAAAUGGAUUCAAAAUUAAUUUUGGGGUUAAGGGAAGAAAAUUCUUUUAAGAUAGUUUUGAGCCUAGACUUAAGGGAAGAACAUUUUGAAAAUCCGUUUAUAUUUCGAAAAACUGCUGAAUUCCAUUUAACGUAUAGAAACAUAAUGAAAAUUCUUUUGAGAUGAAUUUAUCCUAGGGUCAGGUGUAAAAUCUUUGCCAAUUAAUUAUAAUCAUGUCACGAUAUGAAUCAUGAGAACAAUAUGCAUGAUAUGGAGGUUCAAACUUUUAGUAUCUUUUUAUAAAAAAUAAGGGUCACAAACUUCGCUAAUAAUUAUUUGGUGGGAUGCUGAGCAUACGAAGUACGACCUAGCCAUGUAGUUGAAUAGUGUUGGGGCUUUGGCUUCCUCGAUAGUUUGACCCACCGCUGUCUGAGAUGUCGGGGUGACUGUUGCUCAGUCGAUUUAAGUAGACUAGCGGGUUCUUCCGUCCUUUUUAUACACCGUUACUGAUGCCUCUUUGGAGAUAUCGACAUUAGUGGGAAUCCUUUUUAUUAAGUGAUUGGUCAGUAGACUCAGAGGUAUUCAUGGCUGAGCAAAAUUCCAACCUAGACUGAAAAUUCUGGCAAUGAGAUUGAAAAGUUCUGGCCCAUGAUUGAGUAAUGGCUCUUGGUUUAAGAAUUCCACAUAAUUUCGCAAAGUGCCGGGAAUGGGAGGUAUACCCUUGUUCUUUUCCUAUUUCUUCUUUUUCUUGAUUUUAGGCAUCUCAUACUGACUAAUUAUUAUGUUUGUAUGCCCCUAUAGUAUGGUGAAGGUUUCCACUAGUAUGAGUGGGUUGAGCUUCGUGACGGAGAGAGGAUUGCCGGGGGCUCUCUUAAGUCAGGCACAUUUUUCAAAGGUUAUAUAAUCAGUACCAUGGCUCAAAGUGUGAAGCUGGAGACGGUGGUCGAAGAGCUCAAUAAUAGGAUAUAUGAUUGUCUUUGUCAUGAGGAUAGAGAACACUCGUGCCGCUUCUAAAAUAUCGGAUCGUCCUCGACCCUCCUCAGACCGUACUGAUGCCCCCCAAAAGACUAAUAAUGGGUUAGACUAAGAAAAUUGUCUCUAUAUGACACGAUGUGUCACCAUCCAUGUUGGACAUACAGGUCCACCCUAUGUCUCCUUUAUCGAAAUUUUAGGAUCUUGACAUUGGGGUGCCCCAACACUUCUGUAGUAAGCUUUCUCUUUGUGACUGAUGGGAAACUUCUUCGAGAAGCUAGACUUUAUGGCUUCCUAGGGACGUUUUAUGACUGUUCAAUUUUUGAAAUAACCGUAGGGUCCCUGCCCUUUGCUUCUUUAAAUAGAUGCUAUUUAUUGGUAUCUAUCCUCCUCAACCCAAUUCAUCUCCAUUAAGCAGUCAGCCUUUAUUUGCCACUGAAUUCAUGGCCAAACCGAGUGACAACUAGAAUUGGAGGUUUCAACGCUGUAACUCCAAGAUGUGUGUAUGUCAAAGAGUGAGAUCCCUAGAGCCUAGAAUGUGUAGAGUCUUCCUCGAGUGUCAACAAUGAGAGGUGUAUGCUCUCUUCAUCUUGAUUUCACCCCAUUGUCAGGUUCUUUCCGGUCACUUCUUCUCGCAAACUCUAACGAUGGGUUAUGUCUUUUACAACAUGGCUCAGACUUCUACUAUUGUGAAUGGCUCAUGCUCAUUGAUGGGCAAAGAGUCUGUGGUGGGUUCCUUCCAACUAGUUCCUCUCCUGAUAGAUCGAUCGCUGAUUUGGCUGCCAUAAACUCUUGGCUACACACACUUGUCAUGGACCAAGGUAUAAAGCUCAAGAAUAUUACUACUGUUUUUUGUUCAUGUAUAUCCCCUCAUGAGGGAAACCCUCCUGAUGCAAAGAACAAGCCAUCGUUGUCAAUAAUUCUUGAUCGAAUACAAGAGCUAGCUAUCAGCGCCGCCGUUUACUAACCAUUUUGUUAAUGUCUGUGUGGUUCCCAACACCCCAGAAAAACGGGUUUUAUGCAUGUAGUAAUGUGAAUGCAUGGUAUUCAUAAACGCGAGAAAUAUUUUAAAAGAAAAUGCUUAAAUUUUGAAAUUCGGCAAACAAAAUAAGGACACGGAGAAAGUUGUUCCUUCUGUUUUUGUCAACUUGUAUUCCAAUUAUUCUGACGCGGUUCCGACCUUUUGUUAAUUUCUUUUGCAUGGAUUGUUUUUUUCUUUACUUGAGCGAGUAUGACUUUGUAGCCCCGUUGAUGGGUGAAAAGUUAGGUUUUGACUGUUUGCUAAGAGUAUUUGCUUGACGGAGAAAAGUUUGGGUCUACGGUGAAAAGUUUUCUAGUGAAAAUUUUCAAAAGUUUUUUUUGCGUUUUUCAAUAAACAUUUCCCUUUGAUUUUAAAAGAAACCGCUCGAGUUAGUUUAGAAAUAAAGAGCCAAUAUAUCUACCUGGCCAAAGACAACCCAAUUAUUUUCUAUUCUAGCUUUUCAACAUUUAACAUGAUACAAACACGGAAUAGGAAUAAUAAGAACUCUCAUAAACCUGAGAGCCUAACUUGAUAACUUUAUUGGAAACACGGGGAAACUUAAUUAUUUAGGCGUGGUAAUUUCACUUUAUUUCAAUUGAUCGAUUGCUACCAACCUUUUUUCCUCGAUUAGGUUCAGUUUCUCGUACCAUGCAUGUACACAUUCAGUUUCCUCUAACUUUGCCUCCAUCAAUACCCUAAGGGAAGGAAUUUCCAGUUCUAUGGGGAGUACUGCUUUUAUUCCAUACACUAGAUGGUAGGGGGCUUCCUCGGUCAAUGUUCUAACCUAAGUGCGACAUCCGUGAAGCGAAAAUGGUAACAUCGUCCCAAUCUCGGUAUGUGACCACCAUUUUAUGCACCAUCUUUUUGAUGUUUUUGUUAGCGGCUUCCACUGCCCCAUGCAUUUGUUACCUAUAAGGGACUGAGUUGUGGUGUUUGAUCUUGAACUCCUCCUAGAGCUCACUCACCAUCUUAUUGUUGAAAUUCUUGGCAUUGUCUGUGAUUAUCCUCUCAGGAAUCUCGUAUCGGCAUAUGAUUUCCUUUUGAAUGAACUUGACCAACACACUCCUGGUUAUAUUAACGUAUGAGGUUGUACCCAUUUAGUAAAGUAAUCGAUGGCGACCAGGAUGAAGCGGUGGCCAUUUGACGAUUUGGGUUCAAUCAUUCCUAUCAUAUCGAAGCUCUAAAUGGAAAAUUGCCAAAGGAAAUGACAUCACAAUUAGGGAAGUUGGUGGCGCCUGAAGUUCAUCAGUGUAGACUUGGCUUUUGUGACAUUUGUGCACAUAUGCGAUGUAAUCUGACUCCAUGCGGGUCCAAUAAUACCCUAUUCUUAUGUUCUUGCAUGUCCUUAAGCAUUUCUACCCAGUGUAUGUGCCUGCUGUUCAACUCCUUUUGCUCCAUCAAGUAUUUGAGACUCUUAUAUAUGUCUUGAUCCUAAAAGUCUCACCAUACAAGUAGUGUCUCCAUAGCGUUAGUGCAAAGACCACUGCUAUGAGCUCCAAAUCAUGAACUGGAUAGUUCACCUCAUGCACCUUCAGCUGGCGAGAUGCAUCAGUCACCACCCUACCAUCCUGCAUCAGAAACGCUGCCUAUCCCUGAAUGUGACACAUAACUAUAAGUCACAUACACACCCUCAGCAACCGGAAAGGUGAGUACUGGUGUGGUGGUGAACCUCUUCUUCAGCUCCUCAAAACUCUCAUGACAGACCUUACUCUAAACAAAAGGCGUGUACUCACUUGUCAGCUUGAGGAGUGGUCCUGCUAUCUAAGAGAAUCCCUAUACAAACUUCUUGUAAGACCCUACCAUACCUAGAAAACUCUUCGCCACGAUCACACUUUUUGGCGAUGACCAAUUCACUAUCGCCAACACCUUCUUUGGGUCCACCUUGAUGCCCCAUCCACUGAUUAGGUGUCCCAGAAACAGCACCUCACUCAGCAAGAACUCUCACUUAGAGAACUUGGCAUACAACCACUUCCUCCUUAAGGUAGUCAAAACUUCUCUUAGGUGCUUUGCAUGCUCGUCCUCCAUCUUGGAGUAAACCAAGAUGUCAUCGAUAAAUACUAUGACAUUUGUCUAAGUACCCAUGAAACACCUUGUUCAUCAUUGCCAUGAAAGUUUCAGGGGCAUUGGUUAACCCAAAAUGCAUCAUUAAGAACUCAUAGUGACCAUACCUGGUUCAGAAUGCUGUUUUAGGUACAACGUCGAUCUAGAAUCACUAACAAGGAUGGCUUGUUCUUCGCAUCAGGAGGGUUUCCCUAAUGAGGGGAUCCGCACGAGCAUAUACCGUGGCAAAAACAAUAGCCGAGAGUUUUUGGAAGCCAAACUAGCGAUCGAUCUAUUAGGAGAGAAACCAGCUGGAAGGAGCCCGCCAUAGACUCUUUGCCCAUCAUUGAGCACGAGCCACUUGCAAUAGUGGCAGGGGGGGGGGGGUGGUUGACAUGUUGUAAAAGACAUAACCCAUCAUCAGAGUUUGUGAGAAGAAGUGAACGGAAAGAACCUGACAAUAGGGUGAAAUCAAGAAUGAAGAGAGCAUAUACCUCCCAUUGUUGACACUCGAGGAAGACUCUACACAUUCUAGGCCCUAGGGAUGUCGCACUUUGACAUACACACAUCUUGGAGUUAUAGCGUCGAAACCUCCAACUCAGGUUGUCACUCGAUUUGGCCAUGAAUUCAGUGGCAAAAAAGGCUGACUGCUUAAUGGGGAGGAAUUGGGUUGAGAGGAUGAAUUGGGUUGAGGAGGAUAGAUAUCGAUAAAGAGCAUCUAUUUAAGAAGUGAAGAGCAGGGACCCUGGGGUCAUUUCAAAAGUUGAACAGUCAUUACACGUCCCUGAGUGUUUCCCACCAGUUACAAAGAGAAAGCUUACUACGGAAGUGUUGGGGCACCCCAAUGUCGAGAUCCUACAAUUCUAAUAAAGGGGACAUAGGGUGGACCUAUAUGUCCAACAUGGAUGGUGACAAAUCGUGUCAUAUAGAGACAAUUUUCCUAGUCGAAUCCAUUAUUAAUCUUUUGGGGAGCAUCAGUACAGUCUGAGAUAGGUCGAGGACGAUCCCAUAUUUUAGCAGCCGCACGAGUGUUCUCUAUCCUCACGACAAAGACAAUAUCAUCUAUCCUCUUAUUGAGGUCAUCGAUCACCGUGGCUAGCUUCACACUUUGAGCCUUGGUACUGAUUAUAUCACCCUUGAAAAAUGUGUCUGACUUAAGAGAGCCCCCGACAAUCCUCUCUCCAUCACAGAGCUCAACCCACUCACAUUAGUGGCAACCUUAACCAUACUAUAGGGGCAUACAAACAUAAUAGUUUGUCAGUACGAGAUGCGUAAAAUCAAGAAAAAAAGAAAUAGGAAAAGAACAGGGGUAUACCUCCCAUUCCCGGUACUCUACGAAAAUACGUCGAAUUCUUAAACCAAGAGCCAUUACAUGUUCAUGGGCCAUAACUUUUCAAUCUCAUACCAAGAAUUUUCUGUCUAGGUUGGGAUUCUGCUCAGCCAUGAAUACCUCUGGGUCUACUCGCCAAUCACUUUAUAGAAAGGAUUCCCACUAAAGUCGAUAUCUCAAAAGAGCCAUCAGUAACGGUAUAUAAAAAGGAUGAAAGGACCUGAUAGUCUACUCAAAUCGAUUGAGCAACAGUCACCCCGACAUUUCAAACAGUGGUGGGUCAAACUUCUGAGAAAGCCAAAGACCCAACACUAUUAACCUACAGGGUGGAGUCGUAUGUUGUAUGCUGAGCAUCCCACCGAAAAGUUCUCAGCGAAGUUUGUGAAUAUUACUCUUUUAAAAAAGAUACCAAAAGGUUGAACCUCCAUAUCAUACUUAUUUUUCGACCGUACAGCUCUUCUGAUCGAAUUUUUGGUUAGAAUUUAAUCUGGUCAAUUAGACUGAUUCGAUUCUUAUGUACAAGAUUCUUAAGGAUGGAUUGUUCCCUAGAGAAAAAAUUCCCAAAUUGUGACGACUUACGCUGAUGAACGGUUUUUUUAUACCGCCUUUCAAAUAUCCUCUAGAAUUUACUCAUGCAAUCGCAUUUCCCUAGGGUAUUUCUAACUUUAUUACUCAACGUCUACUAUGAACUAAACCAAAUAAGUUUGAGUUUGUUUGUUUAAGUGUCGAUGUAACCAAUUAUAAACUACAAACUGAAUUAAAAGAAAGUAAAAUGCAAGAAAUCAAAUUUCAAAUAUGGGAUGGAAGGUUGGUUAGAAAUGAAUCCACAAUAGCGAGUAAGAUAUGAAUAAAUGAUAUGCAAUCUAAAUUAAAUAGGUAAUAAUGGCUUAAAAGUUUUUGGAGAUAACCUUAGACCGCUCCAAUGAAUCUAAGGAUCUAUUCUGCUUGACCGAAGACUCCUCUCUUGAGCUAAUCUUGACUCAAGAAGAACACAGUAAAUGUGUUUUACGAAAUGCUACAACGAUAUAUGACGCAAAAAGCCUAGACGAACCGCUCCUAUCUCGAGCUAACGAGCCAUCUAGAGUUCUUCCUAAGCGUCCUAUUGAUCUAUGUUCCUCUCGGACCCACAAAUAAAUGAUAACGAAUCAAUCAAGAUGAUUGGACAAGAAUGAAUUUGAAAUUAGGUUUUAGCAAGAACAUAAUAUUAGCCUGAAUAACAUCAAUAACAUAAUAAAAUGGUUAAAACCCCAUCAUCCAUACAAAGUCUAGACUAAAGCUUCAUCUAAUCUACACAACCCAAAGAGUUUAGCUGAUCAUGGUUCUAGAAACAGGACAACUAGAACAAAGGAAAUUAACCCGAGAAGAAUACAUCUUGCAUCGAGUAAUCUCCAUCUUGUCACCAAUCUUCGUUUGUCUCCAAGCGUGGAUGAACUCUUGUUUCAAUCACUCUCUGCAACUCUUUCUUUUUCAGACAGCUCCAAAAUCUGUCUAAUAUAAUUUGUGUUCGAGUUAAGUUCUUUUGAAAAUUGGGUGAUGUUGACCGUUACGAAUAACAGGAUGGACUCGAUUGCCUAUGUACACGGACUUGGGGAUCAAACUCCGGGUACUUCGAAUUCAAAAACUUUGACUUUUGGUUUGUUGGGUUUGAGCCAAGUUUUCAGUGUUUAUCAAUGCCACUUGCAAUGAAUUAACACUUACAAACAUUUAGAUUUUUGAAUAGUUGGGUUUAAACCGAGCUUUCGAUGUUUAUCCAUACAGUUGCAAGGACUUAACACCUGCUAACUUUGAAUUAUCGGGAGAGGGACUAAUUAUCCAUAAUACGAGUUUUCUCUUUUAGAAUUUUUGUAUAUUUAUGCUAGUUUUGAAUACUUUUAGGACAUUUUGAAGGAAGGAAUAUAAACAAAUAUUUUAGUUUCAAAUAAUUAUUGGAAUAGCCAACUCUCAAGAAUGAGCUAUUUUGAUAUACGUAUCAAAAUUGCUUUUUGGGAUUCUAAAAUAUGUAUACUAUUUUUUGAACAAUUUUGGGAUUUUCGGAAAUAUAAGAGAAAAUAAACUAAUGUUUUAUCUUGCCCGAUAAUUAUUCAGAAUAGCUAACUCUUGGGAAAGAGCGAUUGUGAGUGUGAUUCAGGUUCUGUAAGUGAGGUUUGAAUGAGAAUGAGUGGUUUCGAGGCGUUCAAUGUGAUUUGAGAGAGUGAUGAGAAAAUGGGGGUGAUUUGAGCCUGGUUGAAGAGUGAUUUGUAUGAGGUUUAAAGAGUGUGAUAGUUAUAAUUAUUAGUAACUUAUAAUCAUCAUAAUUUCCCAUAUUUGUCACUAUUUUUAACAAAGCGAAAUAAAAAAUAUGCACAAAAUGAAGAGAUAAAGGUAACAUCAUAAUUGGAAUAUGGUGGAAUUUCUCCACAAGGCACAACCAGCUUCAAACCCAGAAGUCGCCUCCCACAAAGGUAAUGAAUAAAUGAAGACAUUUGAGCAGGAACAAUAUGCAUUCCUGGUAAACGAGGAGAAAUUUUAAAGUAGGCUUCGAGUAUAUUCAGCUCCGGGGACUUUCAAUUAUUCUGAUCACGCCUUACAUAUGUUAAACAACCAAGUCCACACCAUGAACCUAGUCGUUCGGACCGACUUCGCAGGCCGAAUCCACACUUCAUGGACAAUAAGGUCAACAGUAUAAUCAUUUGAAUUUUUUUCAUUAGUUGUCAUUUGAAUUGGUCUUGCAUUGUUAACGGCUACUUCCACCUUUAGUGGAAUGUAGGAGUAGGAAGGUGAGUAGUAGUCCAUCCUUCAAGGUAUGUUGGUUACUUGUCAUGUAUUUAAACCUUUUGUUUUCAAUGGAAUAAGUAAGAAAUUAUUCUUAAGAAAGUCAAUGACCAUUCUAGCCAAGAAAUUAUAAUUCGGUCUUCUCCGACAUAGAAGCAGGAGCAUUUUGAUCAUUUGAUUUACUAUCGUAUCAUUUGGUAUCAGAGCCCAUGACGGGGGCCAACGUUCAACAUCUUGAUGCUGUUGCGGCCAACUGUCAGGCCAAUUUCCACACUAUCCAAGAACAGCUUGCCGUCGUGCAAGCUGCGCUUACCCAACUUGCUCAGUCCAAAGGAGAUAGGUAUGAUGAACAUGAAUCUAACGAUGACGUGAGAUACACUAAUCAUAGUCGAGCUCCUUCCAAUGACGGCCACAACGAUGAGCUGCGGAAGAUGUUUUUUGGAGCAAAACUAGCUCGUCUUGAAUUUCCAACCUAUGCCCACAGUGUGGCUGUCUCGAGUGGAUCAAUACUUUGAAUUCCAGGAAAUUCCAGAAGGGCAUAAGGUGACAGUAGCUUCCUAUCAUCUACAGGGUGAUGCAAACCAAUGGUGGCAAUGGUUGCAGAGAACUUACCAGACGGGCGGGUUGCCAAUUACAUGGGACGUGUUUACAUCUGAGUUGUGGGCAUGGUUCGGACCGACAGCCAGUACAGGCUUCGAUGAAGCUCUCUCCCACAUCCGACAGACCGGAUCGCUAUGAGAUUAUCGGAUGGAAUUUGUGAGACUCGGAAACUAGGUCCGCUGUUGGACUCAAAAGGCACUCGUCAGGACAUUUCUUGGGGUUCUAAAAAGGGAAGUAGCUUAUGGGAUUCACAUCUUCAAUCCUCGCACUCUAAAGGAAGCCAUCAAUCUCGCUUGUGUAUGUGACGAACAAAUAUCACGAAAUCGCAGCCCUCCUCGCGGUUCGUCAAGGUCUCCUACCGAUUUCACCACCCCGUCGCGCCACAAAACGAGGUCAUCCUACGAGAUCAGCUUUGCCCAAAGAUCUAACAAUUUGAUGGAUGCCACAAACAGCAAAAAAGCUUGACAGCCUUCCAAUGGAGAGCCAAUCCUAUGUAAGGGAAAGCAUGAAGAUGUAAUCCUCAACAUCGAGGGGAACCGGUUUUCCAUCACUCUUUUCGCCAUUCCUAUCGUAAGAUUCGAUGUUUUUCUCAGAGUUAAAGGCUGGAAACCCUCGGUACAAUAUAUAACAAUUGGAAGACGAUGAAAAUGGAAUUCGAAUGGGAUGGAUCUCAAUGCAAACUUCAUGGAAUCACCGGUACCACCUCCACUACGGCAACACUCAAAAGCAUCAUCAAGGAGGACAUUGGGGCUCACGCUAUCUCCAUCCAUUCACCAACGACGGACCCCUUCCGUCCGAUACCACCCUAGCUACACGCUCUAAUUCGAGAAUUUGAAGGUUUAUUCGAUGAGCCCACCGAAUUGCUGGUCACUUUGCUGAUUCGACCCAGUAGCAGCCCGUUCUGAUCACUAGUCUUGUUGGUAAAAAAGAAAGAUGGGUCAUGGCGGCUUUCACAGAUUAUAAAGCAUUAAAUUUAGCCACCAUCAAGGACCGAUUUCCCAUACCAACCGUCGAUGAAAUGUUAGACGAAUUGCAUUGGGUAAAAUACUUUAGAAAGUUAGAUUUUUGGGAUGGUUAUCAUCAGAUGAGGAUGGAGGCAGCAAACAUACACAAAACGGCUUUGGGACGCACAACAGGUACUACGAAUACCUGGUAAUGCCUUUUGCUCUUUGCAACGCUCCCUUAACUUUCAAGCUAUUAUGAAUGAGAUAUUUCGUCCAAUUCUAUGCAAGUUUGUGCUUUUAUUUUUUAUGAGCUCGAUUAUUAGUACAAUUAUUCCCGCUUUAAACGACGUUUUUGGAUGCUUGGAUGCCUUAACAUGUUCGAAUUCAUGACGUUUUGUGCAUAUUUGGUUCCCCUUGGACCCUUCGGCCGUGUUACAUUUCUUUGUAUAUUUUUGGUAAAUUUCAGGUGUCAUAUGACGCCUCGGGAUGAAUCAAAUCAUGGCGGGGAGGCUGGAACAACUCAGUACUUUUGACUUGGUCCGAAAACGUUGCAAUUUCGUAUUUUGGACAUAUCUUCUAGCUCAGAAGUCAGAUUGAUGCAAGGCCGGCGGCGUUGGAUAGAUAGUUCAAUUUCUACAACUUUCGAGUUCAGAAGUCUCUGUAAAUUAGACCAUAAGUGCGUCGUAAAUAGACCAAAAGUGUGCGGCCCACUUUUGGUAUCCGGCAGGCAAAAGAAAACGCCCUAUAAAUACCCCAGAGACCCCCUAUGGACGGGCUAUACUUCAAUAUACACAUAUUUUCGAGCUCUUAGAGAGAGUUAGGGUUCGAGAGAGACGAUUGAAGCGAGAGGAUCAACCACAAUUGACAAAGGGGGAAUCAUCAAGUCAAAGAUUGGGAUUUCCACGAAGAAUAUGUUGUCUUCUCCGAUUUUUCUUCUCUUCGCUUGUGAUUUAUUUUCUGAAACCAUGAGCAACUAAACUUUUUGUGUUGUUCGGAUUAGAUGAAACUUUAGCUUAGCUUCUGAAUGGAUGAUGGAUUUCUAAACCUUUAAUAUCGAUGUUAUUCAGGAUUAUCGUGUGUUCUUGCUAAACCUAAUUUCAUAUACAUUCUCGUCUGAUCAUCUUGAUUGAAUCAUCGUCAUUGAUUUGUGGGUCCGAGAGGAACAUACAUUCAUAGGUCGCUUAGGAAGAACUCUAGGUUACUCGUUAGCUCAAGAGAGGAGCAUUUAAUCUAGGCUUUUUGCAUCGUUUAUCGUUGUGGCAUUUCAUCGAACACCUUUAAUGCGUUCUGCUUGGGUAUAUAUUAGCUCGAUAGAGGAGCCCACGGUUUAGCAGAAUAGAUCCUUGGAGGAGCGAGAGUGAUCUAAGACUAUCGUAGGAAACCGUCAAAUCAUUAUAACUUGAAUAAUUGAGAUUGCAUAUCGUCCAUCCAUCCAUUGCUAGUUAUUGUAGAUUCGAGUCCGAAAAACCUUCAUCCUUGGUGUAGAUUAGCUCAAGAGAGGAGUCUACGGUCAAGUAGAAUAGAUCUUUAGAGGCGCAAGAGUGAUCUAAGACUAUCGUAGGAAAUCGCCAAGCCAUUAUAACUUGAAUAAUUGAGAUUGCAUUCGUUCAUUGUAAUACCCCGAUCCUAGUACGAAAAAAUAAUAAUGUAAAAGUUUCUAGGAAUGGUAACAUUCUGGCCGAUCGUACCAAAAGUACCAGUUAAAUUAAUUUAGUACAUGGUAAUGUACAUAUUCAUGAUAAAAUGUUAAUUAAUACAUGAUGUUAUUCUCAUCAUCUUGGUAUGGAACAACAGAAGUUUUAUAUAAUGUUAGAAACAUGAGUUAGCAAGAAGAUAAGGAUAAUUAUCAUGGAAAGAGGAACUCACGUGCAUGCAUGCAGAUACUACCUCACUUCAUGACAACAAUUUCAUUUGUCUUGUUUCCCACCUCUUCAUCCCUACUUGACCUUUUAUUUCAUUCUUAGAGAAAUGAGUCGUAGCAUAUUUUAGGAUAAGGCUAAAUAUGCAUUCUUUGUGAAUCAAAUAACAAAAUAAAAGAGUAUAAAAGGGGGCAUACACCCAUUUAGUUAAAGACACAGAUACAGCGUAGCUGAUAGCCUUGACACUUAAGAGAAAUAUAGCACGAGUACUCACUUCGUAUCAUCAAAGAUCUUUGGAAUGUCAUCUCGACUCGGAAGCUGAUAUCGGGGUUGUUGAGGAUUAUUUCUGGUGAGGGUCUCCUGCGUAUCCAACCGGGUUAGAUGUUCCAUUAUGAGUUUAUUAUUAUUAAAGGCUAUAUUCAUGAUAAGGUAAUGUCCGUUUAAUCCUAAGAUUAUAUAUGCUUCUUUACCCUAUUUUGACUUAAUAUGAUACAUGUUCUGUUACUGUGUUGAUUUGUCUGAUUUAAUAUAUGUGUUAAUCUAAGCAGUAGCUAUUACUGAUUAGUGAAUAAUUCAUGUGUUACGGAUUAUUGAAUAAAUCUGGUAAUUGAUUGAUCACCUAGUUAGAGCCUAUAUGUUGACGAUCGUGCUUAAUGCACUAUAGCUACGCGGUGGGCUUCCCACACUAACUAUUGUCGUAAGCCUUGGUAGGCGUCACUAUAUGCGGCCCGAUUUGGUGCCACUAACAUGUAUAUGGGUCGUCAGCAUAUGUGAGUCGGGAUCCCAAAAUAAAAUAUGGAUAUGAAUUAGAUUAUAGAUGGAUAUGAAUUAGAUUGUAGAAUUAGCCUUAUGUGUUAUAUACUGUAUACUUUGUAUAUGAUUAAUUGUACCUUAGAGUGACUAGGGCAGAGAUCUUCACUCAGUGAUUAGCACUGACCCUUACUUUCCAUUUCAGAGGGACAGUAGGCUUUACUGGUUCACACACUGCAAAAUGGUAUCAUCGAGCACCGGGGUCGGUCAUCAUGGUGACAACGGCAGGUAGAUAUCGAAUAUUGUGUCUUGAUCCUCGUUUUGUGUUUUGAAAACUCGUUUGAGCCUCUUACUCUCAUUAUGUGCAUAUGUUAUGUGUGGUUGUGUACUCAUAAAAUGUGAGAUAUGGUUUUGUAAACUAUAGUGGCCAUAAGGGCAAGUAUAAGUACUCCGGUCCAAGCCUGUGAAGCUCGAGACUUCUAUUCUAUAUGUAUAUGUGUGCAUAUGGACUUUUGGUAUGGUGUAUUGUACUAUGUAAAAUCAAUAAGUCAUCUAUGACAUUGUGAGCAGUUUCUGUGUGGACUAAUGAAUUAUAUGAGUACGUAUAAACUCAAUCCUAGAUUAUGAUGAAGAAAUUAAUUGGAUGAAAACUUUAACUUAUAUAUACGGUAUAAGUAGCGUAGCACCCCUAUUACUACCUUGCCGUUUUAUUUUUAAAAUGAACCUAUUAGUGGUAGGGUGUUACAUUCAUCCAUGCAUUGCUAGCUAUUGUGGAUUCGAAUCCGAACAACCUUCAUCCAAUCUUUGAAAAUCGAUUUCUUGCAUUUUGAUUUGCACUCUUAGUUUAUAAUUGGAUACUUCAACAAAAAAUCAAACAAUCAUUCACUGUUACUUGGUUUAGUUAGCAUAAUCAAUUUGAGUAAUAGCUUCAGAAAGACCCUAGGUAAUUAACAUUCCAUUAGUUCAUUCUAGUGGGUAUUUGAUUAGCGGGGUAAAAUCCGUUCUUCAAUUUUUGGACGACAUAUUGGUUCAUAGCCCUAACAAAGCUAGUCACUUGGAGCACGUACGCAAGGUCUUCCAUAUCUUCUGCCAGCAUCAUUUCUAGUUCAAGUUCUUUAAAUGUGCAUUUGGCCUACACGAGCUCGAGUAUCUUAGCCAUAUCAUCUGCGCGCCAGGAGUUAAAGUCGAUCCUCAGAAAAUCCAGGCCAUGGCCUACUCCUACCACAGUCACCGAAUUGAGAUUCCUUGGUCUAACAGGGUACUACCGAAAAUUCGUCAAAGGCUACGGGGAAAUAGCCAGGCCAUUGACAAACUUACUUCGAAAGGGAGAAUUUAUCUGGGAUUUAGCAACAGCAGCAGCCUUCCAAGAUCUAAAGACUACAAUGAUCACUACCCCCAUCCUCGAUAUGCCGAACUUUAAGGAAACCUUUGUCAUCGAAACAGACGCUUUAGGGUAUGGAAUUGGAGAAAUCUUAAUGCAAUCUGAACGACCCAUUGGUUACAUGAGUCGAACCCUUAGCAAAGCCAAUCGAGCAUUAUCAACUUACGCAAAGGAGAUGCUCGCAAUAGUUAUCGCCGUUUAGACUUGGCAACUAUAUGUAUUGGAUCGUAAAUUCCUAAUUCAGAUGGACCAAAAGAGUUUAAAAUAUCUGUUGGACCAACGCAUUACCACAUCAGAGCAUCAACAGUGGGUCUCCAAACUAUUGGGUUUCGAUUAUGAGAUCGCCUACAAGCCUGGAAAAUAAAACCAAGCUGCGGAUGCCCUAAGUCGUCGGCCCGUUUCGGCCACUCUCCUUGCAGUAUAAGUCACUCACACGGCUCUAUGGGACUCUCUCAAAAUGAUCAAGGCAGCCACCAGAGUCAAUCACUCUCACCUGGACCUUACAUCAUCAAGAACGAGAUGAUUCAUCAUCGUGGGCGCAUCCUCAUUCCCCCCAAACUUAGCACACAUCCACGACUUCAUGCAUGGGUUUCACACCACACCCAUGGGCGGGCACUCCAGUGUGCUUCGAACCUACAAACGACUAUCGGCGUAAUUCUAUUGGAGCGUACCGAUCCCGACACAGAUUUGGUAAGACAUAUCAAUGGAUUUCAUUGAUGGACUCCCCAACUCAAGAGGCAAGACAACAAUAUUGGUGGUCAUCGAUCCCCUCACCAAAUCAGGGGACUUCUUAGCAUUGUCUCACCCUUACGCGGCAAAGGCUGUCGCUGACCUAUUCGUUGCUGGCAUCGUCAAACUUAAUGAUCUUCCUUGUUCAGUUUUCACCUAUCAAGACCCCGUUUUUGCAAGUCACUUCUGGCGCGAGCUGUUUCGACUCUCAAGUACGACGUUACAAAUGUCCUCUUUUAUCAUCCUCAGACUUAUGGGCAAACUGAGGUUGUGACUCGGUGUGUGGAGCAAUAUCUGAGGUGCUUCACGCAUCAACAACCGCGAUGUUGGUUGACGGCUCUUCCUUGGGCAGAAUUUUGGUACAACACAAGCUUCCAUAGUUCCACCGGGAUGACUCCUUGUCAGGCCCUUUAUGGUCAACUUCCACCAAACAUACCAUUCUAUCAACCGGGCUCGGCAUCAGUACAUGAAAUAUGCAGUCUGUAAGUGCAACAGCAGCUCCCUUGUUUCUUGUAGCUGGAGUCUGGUUUGUGGUGUUUGGGCUAUCGUUAGUCCUUAGCUGCCUUUGCUUCUGCUGCUGCGGUGGAGACUCUUAUGGCUAUUCACGACUCUGCUACGCACUCUCCCUCUUCUUUCUUAUCCUUUUCACCGUUGCAGCUAUGUAAAUAAAUUACUCUCACCUUUAUCUUUCCCUUCAUCUCAAAAUUAUAUCAACCCUCUUUAAUAUCCAGAUGUUGAUAACUUGUUUGGACUUGUGUAUAGUGCUGGAUGUGUGGUUCUGUACACUGGGCAAGGGAAGUUCUACAGCGUAACAUCAGACACACUGGACUACGUUGUGAACCAGGCAGAUGUUACAGCUGAAAGUCUGAAGAACGUGUCUGCUUAUCUAUCUGCAGCAAAGUCAAUUGGGGUUGAAUCGGUUUUCUUGCUUCUGAUAGGCAAGUUAAGCUAGAUAGCCUCGUCGCCAAAGCCAACGCCUCUGGCGCCACUUUGUCGAGCCGUACUCAGGAGAAUAGUAGAACAUCAUAGAUGGGUUGAAGGGCGUGUAAGCAAAGCUACCAACUUUUGCUGUACUGAAAUUAUCGGAUGUGUUGAAUGGAAUUUUUACUAACAAAUGGGAAUGCCAUUCAAUAUUGUUUGUUGCAGGAGAAUUGCUCUUGUAGUCCUUGCUGCCGUUAUGCUUGGUUUGGCAUUCCUUGGUUUCUGUAAGUUGUUCUGACCAUUAUUGUGCAGGUUAUUGGAGAUCUUUGCUUCUCUUAGUCAAUUGUGAUACUCAAGACUUUGUUUUGCAGUGUUCUCCAUUCUUGGGAUGACAUGUCUUGUAUACUUGUAAGUCAUUAUUAUAGAAUGACAGAAUCGAAUUCGUCCUUGAUUAUUUGAACAAGAUGAUAUAACUAACUAGGACAGUGCUGAAAAGUUUUUUUUUGUUUGGACUGCUGCAGCCUGGUGAUUCCAGGAUGGAUUCUUGUCGCCGGUACAUUCAUCUUGUGUGGUGUCUUUCUUCUUCUCCAUAAGUAAGUUCCUUUUUCUACUAUUAUUAAUUUUUUCUCUUUUGUCAUCUUCCUUGUCCUAAAUAUCAACCAUAGCUAAGGUUGAAUUUGUGUUACUCUUUAUCUUAUCUGUGAUCUGAUCUGAUCUGAUCAUAAUCCUAGUGUUGUGGCGGACACAUGUGUGGCCAUGGACGACUGGGUCCAGCAUCCAGCAGCCAAGACCGCUAUGGACGAUUUCAUCCCAUGUGUGGACAAUGCUACAGCACAGGAGACAUUGUUACAGUCCAAGCAAGUCACUUUCCAGCUCAGUGCCAUGGUCGACAACGUCCUCUCCAAUUUCUCCAACCGUAAUUUCCCGCCACAUGUCCCUCCUCUCAACUUCAAUGAAUCUGGGCCCUUGGUUCCUCCCCUCUGCAACCCUUCAACCCUGAUUUGAAGGACAAGACUUGUGCUUGCUGGUGAAGUGGAUUUGAGAAAUGCUACUGAGGUAAUAUUUACACUUGGUAUCUCAACUUACCAAAAUUUUCGGAAUCGACGAUUUUAACCACACUUGUGUUGCUUUAGUUACCCAAAAUCUGAACGAGUUAGAAGCCAAAUGAAACGACCUAUUGGGUCUUUUUCCGAUAUUGUGUAUGCAAGCAUUGAAUGAAUGCGUGUGCAAUGCUUCGGAAUCAGGAAUAUGUACAACCGCCGGUCGACUAACUCCAACACUAUAUUCGCAAAUGGAAUCAGUAUUCGCAAAUGGAAUCUGCUGUUACCGUAAGCUACGGACUCUUCCUCUAUGGUCCAUUUCUGGUGGAGCUAGAAGACUGCACCUUCGUCAGAAGAACAUUUACCGACAUCAACGCUUCAUACUGUCCUAAACUUGGUAGGUAGACCGCGUGGAUCUACAUCGGGCUGGUGAUUGUUUCGGCCGCUGUCAUGUUUUCGUUGAUCUUCUGGGUUGUCUAUGCCAGAGAGCGACGUCACCGUGUCUACACCAAGCAGUUUAUUACCCGAUAACAUGAUAACAAGGGUCCUUGAUAACAAGUACGAAGAGUGAUGUAAGACUAGAAGUUUACUGAGCAACUUUAUAGUUUAUGCAUCCUCUUUAAUGAAAUCAGGCUGGUUGGUGACUGAUCUAACCCAUACCCACUUAUGAUCAUUCACAUCCGCCUCAUUUUUAGCUACUGCAACUUCCUCCAACGGUAUGUAUGCAUAGACGCCAUUCACGGGGCCUGUCACGAACCCGGUAUAACCGGCCAUGACACCAUGGAUGGCCGAGUGAGGCACCAGGGUGCAAUAGAGGUUAUCAACAGCAUUAGCGAGACUGCUCGAAUCAUGUAAGUGGGAUCGAUGUAUUUCACAUUGAAGAGCUCAUAGGAUGUUCCCUAUUCCACCACGUCUUGAGUUUGGACUUUAUCAGAAGAGGAGAAGAAGGAAACGAGCUGUGCAUCAUCCAGAGGAGGAAAUGAAGAAGAUUCAUUACCGUUGGAGGAGGAUGCACAGAGUGACCAGUUUGCAAUGGAGUGAAAGAUCAAUGAUUGAGAAUGCAAGUUGGACACGCUAUGUUUACUAAGCUGUGUCGUUUUGAUUUCUAUCGUUUAUGUAAUAAGUGAAACACGUGGAAAAUUUCGUUUAUUACCGUUGGAGCUGUUACUACAGUAAAAACGGUAAAUCGUUGUAAGGAUAAAAACAGGGAAGUGGAUGAGAAUGAACACUUAAGUUUUUUCCCAGAAAUCUUCUUCUUCCUCCUUCGUUUCUCUCUGUAGACCAUCUCAUCCACAUCUCAUCCAUUUCUCAUAUGGUAUCAGAGCACGUCUGAUGGUGGUCACACCAGGAAACUCCACUCCGAUCAUAUUUGGAUCGAUGCAGGAUGAAGAAGAUGAUAGUGAUAGCGACAAUGCAAAUCACCAACGCCACCGCAACCAUGGCGAAAACUCGAACACUCCACCUCCAUAUCUCAGUUUUGGUAACCCAUUCUACCUCAAUCCAAACGAAAACCUAGCACAAUCCAUUGUUAAUGUUAAUCUGGAUGGUGGUAACUAUCAGCUAUUGAGUAGAUCUAUCAAAUUUGCUCUUAAAACUAAGCAUAAGAUUGGAUUCAUCGAUGGUACCAUUCAUCCACCUGAAUAUUCUGAUGAAAAGUAUACCUUCUGGGAUGCCUGCAACACAAUGGUGUUGUGUUGGAUUUUGAAUUCCCUGCACCCAGAGAUAAGGAGAAGCGUUAUGAAUCAUGAAAAUGCACAGGUGCUGUGGAGUGAGCUCAAAGCUCGAUUUGGACAAGCGAAUGCACUGAGAUUAGCCAACUUACAGGAUGAAAUUCAUGCUUGCAAACAAGGCCAGAUGAAUGUCACACAAUACUACACCACAAUCAAAGGAUUAUGGGAAGAAUAGGGGCAGUUCUCCCCAAUCGUUGCUUGCACAUGUUUGCCUGGGAACCCAAACAUUUUCCCAGCUGUGCUUGCAUUCCAAAAUAAACAGGACACUGAUUACUUGAUCAGGUUCCUAAGGGGUUUGAAUAAUGAGUAUGACACAGUGAAGACUCAAUUGUUGAUGAUGAGACCCCUUCCAUCAAUUAUCUCAGCAUACGACAGUGCCCUGCAGCAUGAAGAGAAGUUGAGAGGAGGAGCAGUGAUCAGCAAUGAUUCAAUUCAGUCCAGUGUGUUUGCUGUCAGCCAGAACAACACGGCAUAUCAAACCAAAUAGGCCAUGGCUGUCACUGGAGAUAGGAGACUCUUCUGCAAAUACCGUAGAAAGGACAAUCAUGUAGUUGAGGAUUGCCUCAAACUCAAAAACAAGAAAAAGAGGGAACAAGAGAAGAAGGCUGGUGUUUAUUCGAGCAACUUGAAUGCUGGAUGAUUUGCGGGAAUGGUCACUAAGGAACCUGAGUCCAGCAGCUCUGAUUCAACCACCUCCACUGUUCAUCAUGCCCCUUUCACAUCAGCCAUCACAAUCCAUUUACAUCAGAAGAGCUCCAUCAGCUCAGGACCCUGCUUUAGCAAGCAACAAGCCCUCAACACAAGGCAUUAGCGGUGAGCCAUGUCCCUCCUCAAAUGUCUCAUCAUCCAGGUAUGUAUACUCUAUCUGCUAGUACUGACUAUGACUUGUUAACUACCUGGAUCAUUGAUACUGGUGCAUCAGAUCACAUCUAUUGCAAUCUUAGAUAUUUCCUUAACUACAAAGCUGUCGUUUGUGUCUAUGUGUUUCUUCCUAACUCCACAAAAGCCCCUGUUAGCCAUAUUGGAUCAGUUACACUUCCUUUCGGACUGGUCCUACAUGAUGUCCUGCUGGUUCCUAGUUUUGGAUUCAAUUUGGUUUCUGUCAGCAAAUUAACUCAUGACUCCUCUAUGUCAUUGCUGUUUCAAUCCCAGAAAUAUUUAAUCCAGGACCGUAUCACCAACAGGAUGAUUGGUUUAGUAACAACCAUUAAGGGUUUAUAUCAGCUACCAGCUCAGGAUUUCAGUCAAGAGUCUAAAAGUGUCUCUCCUCAUUCUCGUGUCCUUGCAGUCAGCUACAAUUUCAAACCCCAGGCCAUUAAUCUUUGGCAUUGGAGAUUAGGUCACCCUAGUGAUGAUAGGAUUCGUUCUUUGAAACAAUGUAAUCAUCAAAUUGUUGCUGAACACAUCCCUCACUGCGAAGUUUGCCAUUUUGCAAAACAAAAACAUUUAUCUUUUUCUGUUAGUGAAACUGUUGCUUUAAAGCCUUUUGAUCUAGUCCAUAUGGACAUUUGGGGACCUCUCUCAAUUGAGUCUUAUGAUAAGUAUUCCUUUUUCCUCACUAUCGUCGAUGACCAUUCAAGGAGAACAUGGAUUUAUCUAAUGAAACACAAAUCUGAAGUUUGUUUUCUUAUCGAGCCAUUCUGCAGUAUGGUUAAUACUCAGUUUGAGACAAACAUAAAGAUUAUCAGGAGUGAUCAGGGUAAGGAGUUUUCCAUGACAGAAUAUUUCUCUAAACAUGGCAUAAUUAAUCAAACAUCUUGUGUUGAAACUCCUCAGCAGAAUGCUCGGGUUGAACGCAAGCAUCAACACAUACUAAAUGUUGCUCAAGCUCUGCAAUUCCAAGCUGGUUUGCCCCUCCAGUUUUGGAGUGCCUGCGUCCUUCAUGCAGUGCAUUUGAUCAACAGAAUGCCUACUCCUGUCCUGAACAACCUCUCCCCGUUUGAAAAACUAUACCAUACUCCUCCUGUCAUUACUCAUCUUCGAGUUUUUUGAUGUCUAUGUUAUGCAUCUACUUUAGCUAGUCAUAGGACAAAGUUCCAGCCUAGAGCCUGUCAGUGUGUUUUUCUAGGGAUUCCAGCAGGGUUCAAAGGUUAUAAGGUCAUGGAUAUGAUUAGUAGUCAAGUCUUUCUGUCUAGAGACGUUGUGUUUUAUGAAACUAUAUUCCUUUUCAAGGGUGUGUCUGGUUUAGCCUUACAAAAUCUCAAUAAUGAUCCUUUUGAGUUCAUUCGAGAUUCUGAACUCAGGUUGCCUCAUGCAGAAUCGAGUCAGUCUGUCCAUCUAUCAAGCCCCCCUAAUCCUGAUUCAGGUGUUGCCAGUCCUAGCUCUUUACCUGCAUCAUCGAGUAUGCAGCCUGAUAAUGCUGAUGUUGUGGCUCCCUCUCCCUCUAUGAUAGGCGAUGGUUUAGAGGACACCUCUGCAGGUGUUCCUCAUUAGUCACUCGCCAAUCCACAAGGGUUAGGCGUCCUCCCACUUACCUGAUGGAUUACCAUCUUGAUCUAACCGCUGCAAAGCAUGCUCUUGCUGCUGUUGUUUGCUAUGACUUUCUUUCAGCAGGUCACAGGAAGUUUUCCUUGAGUGUGGUGACUCUCCAGGAGCCUCAGACCUAUAGGUAGGCUGCUCUGCAAGCAUGCUGGAUUAAAGCUAUGGUGGAGGAGCUUUCUGCAUUAAUUUCUAAUCAUACCUGGAAGGUUGUUCCCAUUCCACCAGGCAAGCAUCCUGUUGGCUGUAAAUGGGUUUACAAGAUCAAACUACAUGCCAAUGGUUCCAUUGAGCGCCAUAAGGCGAGGCUGGUUGCCAAAGGGUUUACUCAAGUGUAUGGUGUAUACUUCCUGGACACCGUCUCUCCUGUUGCCAAGAUCAAUUCUGUCAAGUGCCUAUUGGCGAUUGCUACUGCUAAGAAUUGGCACCUCCAGCAGAUGGAUGUCUCUAAUGCCUUCCUUAAUGGUGAGCUUGAGGAGGAGGUUUACAUGCAAGCUCCACUAGGGUUUGAUGUCCCACCAGGACAUUGUUGCAAGCUCCAGAAAUUGUUAUAUGGCCUCAAACAAGCCAGUCGUCAGUGGUUUGCCAAACUGACGGAAUCACUCAUACAAAAUGAAGGGUCAUGGUGCUGACAUGGUUGCUUUGCUUGUUUAUGUCGAUGACAUUAUUUUGGCUGGAAGCAACCACUCAGAGAUUGAUCUUGUCAAAAUCUACUUGCAGAAGUUGUUCAAAAUGCGUGACCUAGGGCCAUUAAAGUAUUUCCUUGGUCUUGAGAUUGCCAGAUCAAAUGUUGGAAUCUCAAUCUCUCAGAGGAAGUAUUGCGUUGAUCUACUUACUGAUACUGGUUUCAUUGAGUCCAAGGGAGCGUAAUCACCAAUGGAUCCACUGUUACACUUGACAGCUGAACAUGGAGAGUUAUUGGAGGAUCCAAGCAGCUACAGGCAACUAGUUGGUCGAUUACACUACCUGACCAUUACUAGACCUGACGUUGCGUUUGCAGUGUAACAGCUGAGUCAAUUUCAAGCAUCACCACGUACUGGUCAUAUGCAAGCAGCUCACAGAGUUCUCAGAUACAUGAAGUUGGCACCAUAACAGGGGCUCUUCUAUAAAACUGGUGUCACUCUAGAGAUGAAAGGGUUCUGUGACUCAGAUUGGGCAUCCUGCCUUGAGACCAGCCGAUCUAUUACAGGAUAUUGUACCUAUCUGGGAGAGAACUUGAUAUCUUGGAAGUCUAAGAAAUAAUGCACAGUGUCAGGUUCAUCAUCUGAGGCAGAAUAUAGGGCCCUGGCACAUCUGGUUUGUGAAUUGCAGUGGUUGUCAGGACUACUGGAUGAGCUUGGUGUACAAGUAAACACUCCUAUAUCUGUGUAUUGUGACAACAAGUCCGCGAUACACAUUGCGGAGAAUCCAGUUUUCCAUGAACGAACGAAACACAUAGAAAUCAACUGUCAUGUUACCAGGGAACAAAUCAAGUCAGGGUUGAUUAAGUUGCUACAUGUGAAUACAGAGAACCAAGUUGCUGAUAUAUUUACAAAACCUCUUCACCGUCGUCGCGUUCCCUUCCUCCUUGGCAAGUUGGGAAUAAUUGAUAUAUAUUCGCCAACUUGUGGGAGGCUAUCAGAAGAGGAGAAGAAGGAUGCAGGCUGUGCAACAUCCAAAGCAGGAAAUGAAGAACAUUCAUUUCCAUUGGAGGAAGAUGUGGAGAGUGACCAGAUUGCCAACCAGUUUGAAAUGGAGUGAAAGAUCAAUGAUUGAGAAUGCAAGUUGGACACGCUAUGUUUACUAAGCUAUGUCGUUUUGAUUUCUAUCGUUUAUGUAAUAAGUGAAACACGUGGCAACUUUCGUUUAUUACCGUUGGAGCUGUUACUACAGUAAAAACGGUAAAUCGUUGUAAGGAUAAAACCAAGGAAGUGGAUGAGAAUGAACACUUAAACUUAUUCCCAGAAAUCUUCUUCUUCCUCCUUCGUUUCUCUCUGUCGACCAUCUCAUCCACAUCUCAUCCAUUUCUCAUAGACUUCAACCACGUACCCACAUGAAAGAAAACCGGAUUCCCUGACUCAUCCCGCUCUUCCUUUUGAGCCUUAAUCCUAGGUAUCAGCUCCUGACCGGCUCCCUCCGCUACCACAAUUACAACGUGGCCAUUCUGUUUGAUCCUGCUCCUGAUGAACUCGAGCAGGCCUUGUUUUCCUUCCAAGAAUAAGGGAGUUUCUGGGAUUAGACAAUAGUCAACAUCGCGGCUGCUUAGUGUGGCGUAGAGGGCAAUGUGGCCCGUGCUUCGUCCCAUUAGCUUCACUAGGCCUAUUCCAUUAACUCCUCUCUCUGCUUCCACUUGAGCAGCGCCGAUGGCUUGUUCUGCCAUUUCCUCAGCUGUUUGGAACCCGAAAGAUCGGUGUAUGAUCCCUACGUCGUUGUCAACUGUUUUUGGGAUUCCUGCAACGCCAGUGUUCAGUUUCCGUCGCUGGAUUUUCUCGAAUAUCUUCACUGCUCCACACAUCGUCCCGUCUCCUCCGAUUAUAUACAGCUACUCAUAUGCCAGCAGAAAUGAAAAUAAGGCAAUAACUAAGAUUACAAAGUUCAUAGUUCCAGUCUUCUUCAUUAUUUUUCUAAUGAUGUGGCAUAAUUUUUAGGUAUGACUAGUUAGUGUUUGCCCCAUCAGAUGAUGUAGAUGAAAUUUAGCCAACUUGGACUAACAGAACACGGAAAAUACUAACAAUGCAUAGUUUAUAUACAAUCCUAGAAUGUUUGAAAUGAUAUAUAUAUAAGGGUAUAAGGGUGUAAUUACCUAUAGAACGUGCGAAUUUGAAGUUUUUCGCAUUUAUCUAAAUCUAAUUCAUGCAACUUACCCAUAUGAAUAAAAUAACUCUACAACAAAAUUAAAUAACUAAGUGCAGUUAGUUCUAGAAGGGAUUCCAUGGCAACUAUAGAAACCUGAUUGAAA
rnacentral:lncRNA from 1 species